GUGUCUAUGGAGACCAGAACAUCUCUAUGGCAACAGUCAAACAGUCGGUGUUGCAUCAGCCAGAAGUUCGCACGAGGGCGCUAAAGGAGCAGGAUGGCGCGUGGCAGCAUCCCAAAUGACUUCUGUAAGACCACACAAGGUCAAAAAGGGUUUUUACAGCACACCUAGGGUGCACUCUGCAUCUCGGGUGAAAUUUGAUAACAGUCACGUGACCCGCCAGAUAUAUUCACUAAACCCAGUUCUGUCAGAAUUCCAACAGGCAGCGUUGUGUUUAGCGUUUAUAGACAUACUGUUUAUCGCAUACCUCAAAAUUCACUCCCUAGUAGUGCAGCAUUUUAAUUAAGAGAUUUACCUUCAGUCUAUGGUUUAAUGUAAGAGGGUUAUACUUUCAAAGUGACCUUCAUCUGCAAAUAAACCGAAUGAAAGAGUGCACUUUUCUUCUUCCCUUGAUCUUUAGGAAAUAUAGAUGAUGCAACUUGUGCAACAUUUCAAAUGUUUCCUGUAAGGGAUGACUUGUGGAAAAGGACGUGAGAUGUUAAAAGGACUCAUACGUUAGUGCACAAAUUGUACAAUUCGAAGUGUUUUAAUGAUCAUAAUUGGGUCAGGGGGGAACCUGGAGCCUAUCCCAGGGAGCAUGGGGCACAAGGCGGGGUACACCCUGGACAGGGUGCCAAUCCAUCGCAGGGCACAAUCACAUGCACAUUCACACACCCAUUCAUACACUACGGACACUUUGGACACGCCAAUCAGCCUACCAUGCAUGUCUUUGGACUGGGGGAGGAAACCGGAGUACCCGGAGGAAACCCCCGCAGCAGGGGGAGAACAUGCAAACUCCGCACACGGGGCCACGGUGGGAAUCGAACCCCCGACCCUGGAGGUGUGAGGCGAACGUGCUAACCACUAAGUGCUCACUUUGUUUUGUUGCAAAUUUACAGAGGAUUUCUUUCCAUCAUGAUAAACAUUGGUGUGUUAAAUGUUGACUAAUAUCCCUGACGCUGUUGAGUUGAUUAAUGUCCUGAAAGUAGUUCCAGCUGCAAGGCAAAUCACAGGUUUACUUUAAUGCGCUUGCUCUGAGACUUGUAUAAAAAUGUACUAUGUACAACACUCAGAGGUAAAGCUGUACAUUUUAGUUUUCUAUCUUCUGGACAGAGAGCUUUGCGGUUUCUUGGUAGCAUGAUUAUUUAAUAAUAAUAAUAAUAACAAUAAUAUUUUGUAACUACAAAAUGAUAAUCAAUUAGACUACAUGAUUGUUUGCUCGUUCCCUGAGAUUUAAAUCACCCACAUUCUCCUAAAGAACACUGUAUAGUCACAAUGUUUAUCCACAUAGUCCAUUUUUGUUCGUUUUUUUUUACAGAUAACCAACUUUGUCACACUAUUUUUAUAUUAUUUUUAAGUGUAGGUGUAUUUUCAUGGAGAAGGUUUUGAGCGAGACAGACAUCGGACGCCUAACGUGCCUCGGCUAAUCAAGCUGGAACCGCUGUCACAGCUGCUGUUAUAGAAAAUUCAUCAACUCCUUCUGUCCAAUCAGAAAUCAAGAAUUCAACAACGCUGUGGGUCGCAGGGGAACUUGGAGCCAAUCCCAGGGAGCAUCGGGCACAAGGCGGGGUACACCCUGGACAGGUAACCCCUGCAUUCCUUCACAACUUGGGAGUCGAUCCAGGAAUCUCAGCACCACACACACACCCACUCUAAACCACUGAGCCCUGGAUGCUGCCUGGAUGAAUGAAUGAAACACCCUUGUUGGGGUUCAAUGCCUGACUUCCAGCACCACUAACACAAACACCCUCACCAACACAGUGAGCCACAGUUUCUGACUGAUAGCACAACUAUUUUUUGUGCAUUUAUCUUUCACAGUCUUGAUGAUUGAGGGAAAAUAAAAGGCGGCGAGACUUGAACCACUGAGCUCAGCAACAAGAGACAAACACUUUCCCACAAAACCAUGGAGCUUCACGAGGCGCAGUCUGUUUAUCCUAAAUUUGGACAGACCGCAUCUGACAUCCUACAACCUACUCACAGUGCUCGUCUGCUCUGGUGGUUCAGUGAGUAGGUACGCAUGUGGUUUACUAUGAGAGUCACAGUUCAAGACUCUACUCGUCUUUCUGAGCACUCAUCCUUGAGAAGGACAAACACCUGUAGUGAAUUGGCUUUCGUGCAGAACCUUUGGCGUGGAAGGAUGAAGCAGAGAUCGUCGGUGCCUCUGGUCUGAAAAUGAGCAAAAUAUUCAAGAUCAAUAUUAGAAACAGGACCCAGUUUGAUGGGAAGACUUCAAACCUUGAGAAUGAACUAACAGUGAGGGCAGUGAUUAUGUUAGAAUAUUUCAAUUAGAGUUCUGUGACUAUUAUUAUUACUACUAUAAUUAUAAGACAGGACAGACCUUAAUCUGUUCCUCGAGAGGGAAAAAAGACAGGAGGCAAAGUUUCUGUCGGCCUAAACCCCUACAUGCUUUAUUUCAGUUCUAGGUGGCAUCGAGCUCGAGAGCUGGACGAGGAAAAAUACACACAGCGCCAAACACAAACGCAGGCUCCGCCCACACGUGCUCACACACACGCGCAAACACACACACACACCCCUCCCUCCCUCACACGUGGGACGGGCCUGUGAACGUGAAUGGCAAAGGCUUUAAAUUAUCAGAAUAUGAGUCGAUCACUGAGCAAAUAGAAAAUGUUUAUGAUAUAGUAAGAAGAAAACAAACAAAAAAAAAACUACAAAAAGAAUGGAAAAAAAAAAACAACAAAAGCUGUAAAAUAUCAUAGUUUACAAUAAUUCUUCACAUUCAAAGGCUUUACAUUUAAAAAAAACAAAAAAAAAACAAACAAACAAACAAAAAAAAAAACAUACACAGCAAGGCCCUCGAACGUGACUUCAAUCCAAAUAUGAUUCUCAUAUAUUAGAAUUUAAAUAACACAGAGUAGUCGGGCCCCCGAACGGAGAAGAGCCCAAAUAACCUUAUACAAGAAUAAAAAUACAAAACCCGGAUCCAAGAGUCGCCUCGCCUCACCGCACUCGCCUCAAAGUUCAUUAUUACAUCAACUAUACAUCACAGUCAUCAGUUACCAACCAGGAAGAGGAGACACACACACACACACACACUUAUACACACUCAUACUCAUACACAUGUUCAUCUCCUUCCUGUUAAAAACGCCCAAGUUAAAGAAGGAACUACAUGUGCUCACAUACACACACUCAGGCAUCCAAUCAUAUCCAGACACUCACGUCUCCACUUAGGCGCGCGCGCACGCACACACACACACACACACACACACACACACACACACUAUCCCAUUGCAGAUGAUUUGAAGCAAAAAAAACAAAACAAACAAAAAUAAGAACUGAAAAUCAGUCGCACUAUUGGCUCAGGGCCUUGUGGGAGGAGGGGGGAGGUGAUGGAUUACCCUCAGGAGAACUACAUUACCCAUAGUUCUGCAGUGAGGUGAUGAUUGCAAUGGUUUCCUGUCUCUCUUUUUUUGUUGUUUUGUUCAGGUUUGUAUUUUCUGUGGAUUUUGGGAGAGAAAAAAAACAAAAAAAACAAACAAAAAAAAAAAAAAAAAAACACAAAACCACCACAUCCUCCAAUCAGAUCGGCUAGACCAGCUACUGUGGCCAAUCAGGGCAAAGGACCUGCCUUAACUCUAUAUGCAGACCAAUCAGACAGACAGACAGACAGACAGACAGACAGGACACACCCCCUGCAAUAAGAUCCAGAGAGAGAAAAGAGACAGACGAAGAGCAACAGCGAGAAAGCGGUGGAGGUGUGCCUGUUCUGUGAUUGGUCGAAGGGGUGCUGAGGGGUGGGGGGCGUGGCCGUAGGGGAAAAAGCUCCUAUACGCUGGGGUUCUGGUGUUUGUGGUAGAUCUUCCUCCACACUUCUUGGAUCUUCUUGCACCAUUUGUCAGCGUUGCCACUCGGGUCCAUCAGGUAGUACGUCCGGUUCGGCUGAAACAUUUUUAAAUUCAUGAUGAGAAAAGAAAUCAUUCUACAGGCUACUGCAAUGAGAGAAUAUGAGAGGGAGAGAGAGAGAGAGAGAGAAAUAAAAAUGGGGAGCAAGAAAGGAGAGUGACAGAAAGAGAGCAAGAAAGAACAAAAAAAACAAAGAACAAAGAUGAAGAAAAAGUAGAAAGAAAAAAAGAAUGAAAGACAAAGAAAAUAAAAGGAUAAGAAAGAAAAGGACAGGAUGAAAGAAAGAACGAAAGCGUAGGAAAUAAAGACAGAAUGAGAGAAGUAAAGAGAGGAGGGAGACAAACAAGAGAGAAUAGGAAAGAGAAAGUAAGACAGAACGAAAGAAGGGGAGAAAGAAAGAGAAGGUGAACGAGAGAAUUAAAUAAAGAAAGAAGGUGAAAGAAAAAAAGGUGAACGAGAAAGAAAGACAAGGUGAACGAGAGAAAGAAAGAAAGAGACAAGGUGAACGAGAGAAAGAAAGAAAGAGACAAGGUGAACGAGAGAAAGAAAAAGAGACAAGGUGAACGAGAGAAAGAAAGAAAGAAAGACAAGGUGAACGAGAGAAAGAAAGAAAGAAAGACAAGGUGAACGAGAGAAAGAAAAAGAAAGACAAGGUGAACGAGAGAAAGAAAGAAAGAAAGACAAGGUGAACGAGAGAAAGAAAGAAAGACAAGAAGGUUUUGAAGUUCUUGGCUUCUGGCCGCAGCUCUGGUGACCAGGGGAUCUCCCCCUUCAGCACCUUAUUCACCGGGUCAACAUAGUACAGCAGAUUUGGACCUCACCUUACGCUUGUCGACUGGCCCCAUCUUCAGGAUAAGGUUAUUCUCCACAAACUGCAGGAGGCGCUUCUCCUCUUCGCUGAACUGCAGGUCUAGCUCCAUGCUGUUGCUGUCCAGCUCAUGAACGUGUAUGAACUGAUCCACGCUGGGGGCGGGGUUACAGACAGGAAGUGGUCUUUCUGACGGUUCGGACAACGAGGGCGAAGGGCCGGGCUGUGCCACCUGCAUGCUGCUGAACUGGCUUAAGAGGUCAUCAUACUGAGAGAGAGAAACAGUCCUCAUCAUCCUCAGACAUGGCGGGCAGGUAGGGCGUAAGCUUGGGCGGAGUCUGCAGGUGCAAGUCGUCCCAGCUGAUCGUCUCAAAGAAAGGG